rnacentral:sRNA from 1 species
GCCGGGUGCUGUGGCGGACGCCUGUAAUCCCAGCAGCUCAGGAGGCUGAGGCAGGAGGUUCAUGAGUUCAAAGCCAGCCUCAG